UACGAAGGGAGCUAGCGUUGUUCGGAAUUACUGGGCGUAAAGGGCGCGUAGGCGGCCAACUAAGUCAGACGUGAAAUCCCUCGGCUCAACCGGGGAACUGCGUCUGAUACUGGAUGGCUUGAAUUCGGGAGAGGGAUGCGGAAUUCCAGGUGUAGCGGUGAAAUGCGUAGAUAUCUGGAGGAACACCGGUGGCGAAGGCGGCAUCCUGGACCGAGAUUGACGCUGAUGCGCGAAAGCCAGGGGAGCAA
rnacentral:rRNA from 1 species